rnacentral:ncRNA from 1 species
UUUAAAAAAUUAAUUCUAGUUUUAAUAUUUAUAAAUUUUUAUAAUAUAUAUAAUUUAAUGAAUUUUUUUAUUUUUUUUAAAUAAAUAAAUAAAUAUAAUUAUAAUAUUAAAUUUUAAAAAAUUAAGAAAUUAAGAUUUAGUAUUAAAUUUAAUUUAUUAAUUAAAUUUGUGCCAGCAAUUGCGGUUAUACAAAUAAUAAAUAAAUAAGAAUUUAAUUUAAUUAAUAAGAAAAUCUUUAAAUUAAAUAUUAAUUUUUAAGGUAAAAUUUAAAAUUAAUUUUUUUAUUAAAAUUAUAUUUUUUAUGAUAAUUAAAAAAAUAUAUAAAAAAACUAGGAUUAGAUACCCUAUUAUUUAAUAUUAAAUAAAUUGAUUAAUGAGUAGUAUUAGAUAAAUCUUAAAAUUCACAGAAAAUGGCAGUAUUUUAAACUAUUUAGAGGAAUCUGUUUUGUAAUUGAUAAUCCACGAUUAAUUUUACUUAAAUUAUUUAAUUUGUAUAUUAUUGUUAUAAAAAUAUUUUUAAUAAAUUUAAUAUUUUAAAUUUUAAAUUAAAAGUUAUAUCAAAUCAUAAUAUAGUUUUAUAUUUAAGAAUUUAAUGGAUUAUAAUAAAUUUAUUUUUAGAAAAUAAAUUUAAAAUUUAUUGGAAUUUAGAUUUAAAUGUAAUUUAUUUUAUAAUGAAAUAAUGAUUUAGAUUUAAAAUAUGUACAUAUUGCCCGUCACUUUCAUUUAAAUUGAAAUAAGUCGUAACAAAGUAGAAUUAUUGGAAAAUGAUUCUAGAA